rnacentral:rRNA from 1 species
UUCGCAAUGCCCGAAAGGGUGACGAAGCGACGCCGCGUGUGGGAAGAAGGCCUUCGGGUUGUAAACCACUGUUAGGAGUUAAGAAAUGUAAGGAUGCUAAUACCAUCCUUACUUGACAAAAGCUCCAGAGGAAGUCACGGCUAACUCUGUGCCAGCAGCCGCGGUAAGACAGAGGUGGCAAGCGUUGUUCGGAAUCAUUGGGCGUAAAGAGCACGUAGGCGGUUUUGCAAGUCUGAUGUGAAAGCCCCUGGCUUAACCAGGGAACUGCAUUAGAUACUACAAGACUUGAGUACAGUAGGGGAGAGCGGAACUUUUAGUGGAGCGGUGAAAUGCGUAGAUAUUAAAAGGAACGCCGGCGGCGAAAGCGGCUCUCUAGGCUGUAACUGACGCUGAGUGUGCGAAAGCUAGGGGAGCAAACGGGAUUAGAUACCCCGGUAGUCCUAGCCGUAAACGAUGGGCACUAA